AACGAACGCUGGCGGCAUGCCUAACACAUGCAAGUCGAACGAGAUCUUCGGGUCUAGUGGCGCACGGGUGCGUAACGCGUGGGAAUCUGCCCUUUGGUUCGGAAUAACAGUUGGAAACGACUGCUAAUACCGGAUGAUGACGAAAGUCCAAAGAUUUAUCGCCAGAGGAUGAGCCCGCGUAGGAUUAGCUAGUUGGUGUGGUAAAGGCGAACCAAGGCGACGAUCCUUAGCUGGUCUGAGAGGAUGAUCAGCCACACUGGGACUGAGACACGGCCCAGACUCCUACGGGAGGCAGCAGUGGGGAAUAUUGGACAAUGGGCGAAAGCCUGAUCCAGCAAUGCCGCGUGAGUGAUGAAGGCCUUAGGGUUGUAAAGCUCUUUUACCCGGGAUGAUAAUGACAGUACCGGGAGAAUAAGCUCCGGCUAACUCCGUGCCAGCCGCCGCGGUAAGAC
rnacentral:rRNA from 1 species